UAGGAGGUUGAGACUCAUUUAUGGUAGUC
rnacentral:piRNA from 1 species